AGUCUUCAUUACCUCUUUCGAAUUCUCGACAUUAACAAUCGUGGUUACUUGGAUACUUUUUGUCUGAAUUAUUUUUUCAGGGCGAUACAAGAACAGAUGACAAUGCAUGGUCAAGAGCCCGUUAAUUUUGAAGAUGUCAAAGAUAUUCGAUAUGGUGAAGCCAGCAAAUCCGUGUAAAAUUACAUCCACCGCAAUAUCAAGGUUCGUACGCACCAAAUCGAUUCGAUAUUAAACCCGGUCAUCGAUGGGACGGAG